rnacentral:rRNA from 1 species
GAUGAACGCUGGCGGCGUGCCUAAUACAUGCAAGUCGAGCGAACAGAUGAGGAGCUUGCUCCUCUGACGUUAGCGGCGGACGGGUGAGUAACACGUGGAUAACCUACCUAUAAGACUGGGAUAACUUCGGGAAACCGGAGCUAAUACCGGAUAAUAUAUUGAACCGCAUGGUUCAAUAGUGAAAGACGGUUUUGCUGUCACUUAUAGAUGGAUCCGCGCCGCAUUAGCUAGUUGGUAAGGUAACGGCUUACCAAGGCAACGAUGCGUAGCCGACCUGAGAGGGUGAUCGGCCACACUGGAACUGAGACACGGUCCAGACUCCUACGGGAGGCAGCAGUAGGGAAUCUUCCGCAAUGGGCGAAAGCCUGACGGAGCAACGCCGCGUGAGUGAUGAAGGUCUUCGGAUCGUAAAACUCUGUUAUUAGGGAAGAACAAAUGUGUAAGUUACUAUGCACGUCUUGACGGUACCUAAUCAGAAAGCCACGGCUAACUACGUG